AAAUCCCCUUCCAAUGCCGCAGCCUCUCAAAAUACAGCUUCUUCCCCAUAUAGAUGAAAUCAUGUCCAAAACUAAUACAAUAGUUGAUAUCUAUGAUUGUUUAUAUAGGAUAACAAGUAAUGCUUCCGAAAGACUGGGUUACUUCCCAGCACUAUUUUGUCUCCUAGCAUCUUUGAAAGUUAAAGUGCUUGUGCCAACUGCUACAGAAGCCAAAUCUGUUUGACAAACAAAUUUGGUUUUGUUGAGAUGUCCGACAUUGAGGAAGAACAGUACAGAAAACAAUAUCAUCUGUUGUUCUUCCAAGGGAUUAGGAUGCUUCACAAGCCCGUUAUGGAGGAGAAUGUAGUAUAGGGGUGCAAUUUUUUAUUCUGUACAUAAUUUAAGCUCUGAGAGUUGUCUGGUAGAUCUAUUAUGUAAUGUGUUAUUUUUAAAUAAUUGAGAAUGUGUAACCCAUGAAAUGAA